rnacentral:misc_RNA from 1 species
GCAAACUUGGUCAUUUAGAGGAAGUAAAAGUCGUAACAAGGUUUCCGUAGGUGAACCUGCGGAAGGAUCAUUAAUGAAAUGCUAGGGCGCUCUCUUUAGAGGUCCGACCUUUCAUUUUCCUUGCACUGUGAACCAAAUCUUUACAUCAUUUUUAAACGCAUGAGUUUUAAGAAUGUCAUUGUCUCUUUAAAUAGAGAAUAACACAUUGUAAAAACUUUCGGCAACGGAUCUCUUGGCUCCCGCAUCGAUGAAGAACGCAGC